UAAAAGAUGUUGAGCCCAAGGAAACCGGAAGUUAAAAGUGGACAACAUCAUAAAUGUAAGUUUUCGCUCAGCAAUUUUGCUUUAUUGCAAAGUUUCUUCCUGGCCAACAAUAAAUUACUCAUUGGCACCAGUGACUUCAAGUUCUUCUGCAUAUUGCUUUACUCUUUUUUAGUCUCCAGGUAAAAGUUUUGACUCUACAUAAUAUACAAAGAGCACGCUGAACAAAUUGAUUUGGCCCAGUCCCCUUGUGAGAUGCUGCAAAAUCAAGAGCAAGAUAUUAGACUUCAUUUAUAAAGAUAGCCACUUUGUAGCUUGUGUCUUCCUUGGACUCUGCAUCUUUUUAAGUAGGCUUGGAAGUGUCUCAUUUGUCUUUCAAUCCACUUGAUAUCCUUCAACAACUAAUAUCAACAAGAGCCUGUUUAGACAAUUUGAUUGGAACCACUCUCUAGUGCUUUGUUGAUGACUUUUGUAGCUCCUACUAUGCUCGCAUGUUUAAGGGUGUUGUAUUUAACUUUCUCGUUAUGAUGUUCAAUAUUUUACUGUAACACCUUGAAACUUUUGGACAAUAUUCUCUCGUUCUUGGAGUUAAAUUUGUACUAUCUGGAAGUUCAGUAGAUGGAACAAUGUUGGUUUGAUUUUCAAUUUUUAGGAAAGUUCCAUUUAUGUUGAUUAAUUUGAUCACAGAAGUUCUUUUUAUGUUCAAGUUAUAGUACUCUAAUAUUGCCCAUCCACAAAACUAACAGCUUCUCCUACAUGGAAAACGAGGUGCAUGAAUUAUCUGUCGUAGCUUGGUUGUUGGAGUUGUCCAAAGUUCAAUGGUGG
rnacentral:lncRNA from 1 species